rnacentral:rRNA from 1 species
UACGAAGGGUGCAAGCGUUACUCGGAAUUACUGGGCGUAAAGCGUGCGUAGGUGGUGAGUUAAGUCUGUCGUGAAAGCCCGGGGCUCAACCUGGGAAUGGCGAUGGAUACUGGCUCGCUAGAGUGCGGUAGGGGAGAGUGGAAUUCCCGGUGUAGCAGUGAAAUGCGUAGAGAUCGGGAGGAACAUCAGUUGCGAAGGCGGCUCUCUGGACCAGCACUGACACUGAGGCACGAAAGCGUGGGGAGCAAACAGG